rnacentral:tRNA from 1 species
UGGGUUGUGGCUCAGUGGUAGAGCGUUUGCUUAGCAUACAUGAGGAACUAGGUUUGAUCCCUGGCACCACAU